CAAUCUCCUCCCCUGUUUUUUUAACACUUGAAUCUUUUGGUUCUUGUCCUCUGAGAGCUACUCGAAGGAACAAAGACCAAGAUUCAGUUGGAGAUAAGCCUUUCAAAACGUAGGGUUCCACUGUUCUAGCUACCAUUGCCACUUUUAUAGNAGUGGUUACUAAUAUUUUACUCCCGCCAGAACCACCCACUAAUAAUUUCUUCAAACUAUCCCAUUUUUCACGAUUUUCAUUCCAUACAUCAUCCAACACUAGCAUAUAUUUUUUUCCAUUAAUAAUUUUUCCAAGGUCAGUUUUCAAUGUCUCUAGCUCAAGUUCUUCUGACUUUUUACCCUCUGCAGACUCUAAGAUUUUUUUAACAAUCAUUUUCACAUCAAAAGGAUCUGAUACACAAAC
rnacentral:misc_RNA from 1 species